rnacentral:rRNA from 1 species
UACGUAGGUGGCAAGCGUUAUCCGGAUUUAUUGGGCGUAAAGGGUGCGUAGGUGGUUUCUUAAGUCAGAGGUGAAAGGCUACGGCUCAACCGUAGUAAGCCUUUGAAACUGGGGAACUUGAGUGCAGGAGAGGAGAGUGGAAUUCCUAGUGUAGCGGUGAAAUGCGUAGAUAUUAGGAGGAACACCAGUUGCGAAGGCGGCUCUCUGGACUGUAACUGACGCUGAGGCUCGAAAGCGUGGGGAGCAAACAGG